CGGUUCCUGGCGACUGAGGAAUCUUUUAAGAGUCUGGCUUUCAGCCACAGAAUUGCACAGCCUAUCAUUUCAAAAGUUAUUGUGGAUGUAUGCACUGCAAUUUGCGAAAUUUUAAAGGACCAAUACUUAAAGGCACCAUCAACAGAAGAAGAGUGAAAUAAAAUUGCCAAAGAAUUUGAUGAACUGUGGCAGUUCCCAAACUGCAUUGGCGCAAUGGAUGGGAAACACGUAGCAUUUGCCCCACCAGGAACUGCUGGCUCAACAUACUUCAAUUAUAAAAAAAAAUUCCACAGUGUUGUUUUACUAGCUUUUGUGGACGCCAGGUACCGAUUCUCUUUGAUUGACAUUGGGUGCAAUGGAAGAGUGAGUGAUGGCGGGGUGUAUGCAAACAGCCUGAUCAGCAGUGCACUUCGGGAAAACUGGUUGAAGGUACCACAGCAAAAAUCACUUCCUGGCACAAACAUUGAAGUGCCAUAUGUGAUUCUUGCUGACGAUGCCUUUGACCUGGAGCCAUAUAUCAUGAAAACCUACAGAGACUGCCAGAACCAGAAGUCCAAACAGAUUUUUAACUACAGAU